rnacentral:rRNA from 1 species
AAGGGUAUGGCUGUUCGCCAUUUAAAGCGGUACGUGAGCUGGGUUUAAAACGUCGUGAGACAGUUUGGUCCCUAUCUGCUGUGGGCGUAGGAAAUUUGAGAGGGCCUGACCCUAGUACGCAAGGACCGGGUUGGACGAACCACUGGUGCACCAGUUGUAACGCCAGUUGCAUAGCUGGGUAGCUAAGUUCGGAAGGGAUAACCGCUGAAAGCAUCUAAGCGGGAAGCCUGCCUCAAGAUAAGAUUUCCCGGGUGUAAAAGCCCCUAAAGGACCCCGGAAGACUACCGGGUAGAUAGGUCGAUUGUGUAAGCAUAGUAAUAUGUUCAGCUUAUCGGCACUAAUAGUCCGUGAGGCUUACCUAU